UAGAGUUUGAUCAUGGCUCAGAGCGAACGCUGGCGGCAGGCUUAACACAUGCAAGUCGAGCGGGCACUUUCGGGUGUCAGCGGCAGACGGGUGAGUAACACGUGGGAACGUACCCUUUGGUUCGGAAUAACGCUGGGAAACUAGCGCUAAUACCGGAUACGCCCUUUUGGGGAAAGGCUUGCUGCCGAAGGAUCGGCCCGCGUCUGAUUAGCUAGUUGGUGGGGUAAUGGCCUACCAAGGCGACGAUCAGUAGCUGGUCUGAGAGGAUGAUCAGCCACACUGGGACUGAGACACGGCCCAGACUCCUACGGGAGGCAGCAGUGGGGAAUAUUGGACAAUGGGCGCAAGCCUGAUCCAGCCAUGCCGCGUGAGUGAUGAAGGCCUUAGGGUUGUAAAGCUCUUUUGUCCGGGACGAUAAUGACGGUACCGGAAGAAUAAGCCCCGGCUAACUUCGUGCCAGCAGCCGCGGUAAUA
rnacentral:rRNA from 1 species